rnacentral:rRNA from 1 species
UACGUAGGGUGCAAGCGUUGUCCGGAAUUAUUGGGCGUAAAGAGCUCGUAGGCGGUCUGUCGCGUCUGCUGUGAAAACUCAGGGCUUAACCCUGAGCUUGCAGUGGGUACGGGCAGACUAGAGUGCGGUAGGGGAGACUGGAAUUCCUGGUGUAGCGGUGAAAUGCGCAGAUAUCAGGAGGAACACCGGUGGCGAAGGCGGGUUGCUGGGCUGAUACUGACGCUGAUGCGCGAAAGCCCAGGGGAGCGAACGGG